rnacentral:rRNA from 1 species
UACGUAGGGUGCAAGCGUUAAUCGGAAUUACUGGGCGUAAAGCGUGCGCAGGCGGUUAUGUAAGACAGUUGUGAAAUCCCCGGGCUCAACCUGGGAAUUGCAUUUGUGACUGCACGGCUAGAGUGUGUCAGAGGGGGGUAGAAUUCCACGUGUAGCAGUGAAAUGCGUAGAGAUGUGGAGGAAUACCGAUGGCGAAGGCAGCCCCCUGGGAUAACACUGACGCUCAUGCACGAAAGCGUGGGGAGCAAACAGG